rnacentral:rRNA from 1 species
GACAGAGGAUGCAAGCGUUAUCCGGAAUGAUUGGGCGUAAAGCGUCUGUAGGUGGUUUAUUAAGUCUACUGUUAAAGAUCAGGGCUUAACCCUGAGCAGGCAAUAGAGACUAAUAAGCUAGAGUACGGUAGGGGCAGAGGGAAUUCCCGGUGUAGCGGUGAAAUGCGUAGAGAUCGGGAAGAACACCAAGGGCGAAGGCACUCUGCUAGGCCUGAUUUCGCGACUGACACUCAGGGACGAGAGCCAGGGGAGCGAAUGGG